UCUUGCUUGUCGUUUUGGGACAUAAACAGAACAAAGUUGAUAUAAAAAAUUAACAUUUAUUUUUAUAGAGUUAAAAAAUGUUAAUACAUAGGCAGACAAAGGAUAAAUAUAUAGUUAUAUAAUACACAAGCACAUCUACAGUACUUGAGAAUAACUCAGUUAGUUGAAAAUGGGGAUCAUUCUAAUACUUACAAAGGAUUCUGGUCUAUAAUAGAAUGCAAUUUUCGUAGAAGAAAGCAACCAUAUCUUUCAAGGAUGAAUGAAGUUACGUAGGAAGUCUGUUGUAGUUUAAUAGAACUUUGUUGGGAUCAGUCAAUCAUUGCUUCCGUUUAAGGAUACAUAUAAAAUUAGAGUCAUUUUCUAUGGACACAAGGAAGAAGGCGAAAUGCUACAUAAUAUCUUCAUGAAAUUCACUGAAAUCAUACCGGAAUUAUUUGUAUUUGCAAAUCGAAUGAUGGACCAUCAAACAGGACUCCAUAAUUAUUCAAGGUUGUCUAAAUAAUUUGUUUAUGGAAUAAGAAACAGACAAAGGACAAUGACUGGCUAAGGAUAUUUAUUCAAACAGCAGAAGAUAUAAGCAGUCAUAGUUGAACAACUAACUAAAGGACUCCAUAAUUAUUCAAGGUUGUCUAAUGAAUUUGUUUAUGGAAUAAGAAACAGACAAAGGACAAUGACUGGCUAAGGAUAUUUAUUCAAACAGCAGAAGAUAUAAGCAGUCAUAGUUGAACAACUAACUAAAGGACUCCAUAAUUAUUCAAGGUUGUCUAAUGAAUUUGUUUAUGGAAUAAGAAACAGACAAAGGACAAUGACUGGCUAAGGAUAUUUAUUCAAACAGCAGAAGAUAUAAGCAGUCAUAGUUGAACAACUAACUAAAGGUUUGGAUCUCUGGAACACAUCAUCUCGUAAGCUGAUUAAAUGGACCCGUUCCUACAUUCCAACGACACUGCAAGAUACCCAUAACUACCAAGGCUGGCUUUUAUUUACUUUAAUAUAAUUUCUUAUAAAAUAUUUAGUAUUUUUAGAUGACAUUAUAUUUAGCAUAAUUACAUUUAAAUAAA
rnacentral:lncRNA from 1 species